rnacentral:pre_miRNA from 1 species
CUCCCAAGCGUUGAUGCAUCUACCUGUAUUCUUCUGCCAUGGCUAUGCUUGUAUCAUGGCAGAAGAAUACAGGUAGAUGCAUCAACGCUUGGAAGC